rnacentral:rRNA from 1 species
UACGGAGGGUGCAAACGUUGCUCGGAAUUAUUGGGCGUAAAGCGCACGUAGGUGGCCCGUUGUGUCCGGUGUGAAAGCCCUCGGCUUAACCGAGGAAGUGCAUCGGAAACUGGCAGGCUUGAGUACGGAAGAGGGUCGCGGAAUUCCCGGUGUAGAGGUGAAAUUCGUAGAUAUCGGGAGGAACACCAGUGGCGAAGGCGGCGACCUGGGCCGAUACUGACGCUGAGGUGCGAAAGCGUGGGGAG